rnacentral:piRNA from 1 species
UGAGAAGCCCCUUCUCCAACUUGAGCC